rnacentral:tRNA from 1 species
GCUGGAAUGGCCGAGUGGUUAAGGCGAGUGAUUUGAAUUACCUUCAAAGGUAUCACUUGGUGUUUCACCGCGUAGGUUCAAACCCUGCUUCCAGCG